rnacentral:rRNA from 1 species
GAUGAACGCUGGCGGCGUGCUUAACACAUGCAAGUCGAACGAAGCACUUUAUUUGAUUUCCUUCGGGACUGAUUAUUUUGUGACUGAGUGGCGGACGGGUGAGUAACGCGUGGGUAACCUGCCUUGUACAGGGGGAUAACAGUUGGAAACGGCUGCUAAUACCGCAUAAGCGCACGGCAUCGCAUGAUGCAGUGUGAAAAACUCCGGUGGUAUAAGAUGGACCCGCGUUGGAUUAGCUAGUUGGCGAGGUAACGGCCCACCAAGGCGACGAUCCAUAGCCGACCUGAGAGGGUGACCGGCCACAUUGGGACUGAGACACGGCCCAAACUCCUACGGGAGGCAGCAGUGGGGAAUAUUGCACAAUGGGCGAAAGCCUGAUGCAGCGACGCCGCGUGAGCGAAGAAGUAUUUCGGUAUGUAAAGCUCUAUCAGCAGGGAAGAUAAUGACGGUACCUGACUAAGAAGCACCGGCUAAAUACGUG